UUGAACUUUGACCCGAUUCGCAU
rnacentral:miRNA from 1 species